CCUACGGGUGGCAGCAGUGAGGAAUAUUGGGCAAUGGACGAGAGUCUGAACCAGCCAAGUAGCGUGAAGGAUGACUGCCCUAGGGGUUGUAAACUUCUUUUAUAAAGGAAUAAAACGAGGCACGUGUGCCGUUUUGCAUGUACUUUAUGAAUAAGGAUCGGCUAACUCCGUGCCAGCAGCCGCGGUAAUACGGAGGAUCCGAGCGUUAUCCGGAUUUAUUGGGUUUAAAGGGAGCGUAGAUGGGUUGUUAAGUCAGUUGUGAAAGUUUGCGGCUCAACCGUAAAAUUGCAAUUGAUACUGGCAGUCUUGAGUACAGUUGAGGUAAGCGGAAUUCGUGGUGUAGCGGUGAAAUGCUUAGAUAUCACGAAGAACCCCGAUUGCGAAGGUAGCUUACUAAACUGUGACUGACAUUGAUGCUCGAAAGUGUGGGUAUCAAACAGGAUUAGAUACCCGGGUAGUC
rnacentral:rRNA from 1 species